rnacentral:lncRNA from 1 species
CCUGAGCUCUGCCUCUGAGACUCAGCAGCAGCCAGGGCUCCCCAGGGCCUCUCUUAUUCCCUCCAGGGCCCUGGGGCAGGGAGGCUUCAGGGUUCAUGCAAAUUUCCUCCUCCUCUGGGGCUGCAAAUGGAGUCACAGCAGGGGCGGCCUCAGCACCUGUGACUGAGCAGGAAGGACAAGGCCCUGGGUCCCUCCCAGCAGCCCUCAGACGUGGUCAACGCUCCAGUGUCCCGGACCUGCCUGGGAAAGCGGCUCUGCACUACGGGGGCUCUAAGGAGACUGUGGGGUCUCCACCCAGUGCUGAGGACAGCGGCCCUUGGACCCCAAAUGCAGACAAGGACGAGGGAAGAGAAGAAGAGCCCAGAAGGAUAUGCCCCAUGGAUGGGGACACAGCGUUGUCAGUCACACAGCAGGUAAAGCCACCAGAGGGGAGCCUCCCCCACCCCCCCAAAGAGCCCAUCGUGGCUCCUGCUCCCCUUCAUCCUCACCCCCUUGAGCUCCGGGACCCUUCCUCUCCUGAUGGGAUGUGAGCUGCUGCCUUUCCCCUCAGUCUGGUCUGGGCUGAGAUCUUGGGGGCUUUGGUGGGACAGGCGGGGGCCUUUUAACAGCUGGGUCUCUCUGGGCGCUCUUUGGUGGGUUAGAUGGGGGUUUGGAAACUGGUCCUGCGUUUGCACACAUUCUUUUACGUCAUGAAAUAGAACGUGGGUGUUUGGUGGGUGCUAUUUAGUGGGGUCCUUGGGAAAAUUCAGCCUGACCAUAUCUCCUUUUUAAUUGCGGUAUUUAGACCAUUUACACUCAGUGUGGCUCUUCCUACAGGUCAGUGCAAGUGUCUCAUCUUGCUUUUCAUUUCUAUUUGUCCCAUCGUUCCUUCUUCCCAUUUUUCUUUUCCUGCCACUAUUUUCAUGAACUGAGUGUGUUUUAGGAUGCGAUUUCAUCUCCUUUAUUGAUUUACCGGCCAAAGUUGCAUUCCCAAGUCUUCACUGGGAGUUACCUGUGGCACAUCGGGUUUAGGAAACGGCCUUGUCAUUGCAGCAGCAGUUUGGGUCACGGCUGUGGUGCCAGUUUGAUCCCGGGCCUGGAACUUCCACAUGCCUCAGCU